AUUCACUUGCUCCAGAGGUUUGCUACAGUGAUGAGCUGUGUAAUUUCUUAGGCCCAAAGUUGUGGCAUGCACUCAAAUCCUGGGGUUACCUAUCAGGAAGCGGCACUACCCCAGGUCAUCCUGCUUCUCAACUGGGAGCUGAGCCCCUGGAAAGGAAAAUUUUCCUUUGGGGGCCCUUCUAGAGUUAUAAUAAUUUUCCUUUCCUUUCACCUGUUGGCAUCUUAGGUGAAAAAGUCACUGAAAAAUAAUUGAAGUAGAAUUUCAAGUUUUAUCUCCUGAUCAUCACAGCAAUCUCAGAUGCUGAUUUUUCUCCAGAAAUCCAAGGGCAGCAGAGGGUUUUAUGUAUUUUGAAUCAUCCAGUUUGUCUGUAGCAUCUGUCCAGGGGAACAGGGAGGGGUGUUUCCAUUUUGGAAAGCCAUUUGGGAAAGCCGAGUGAGGCACAAGUAAGGGGGUGACAGUGGCUGCAUUGGGACCAGAGUACAGGCUCUCCCCCUGCAGUCCCAGUGAAGCUGUAGCACCCAGGAAUGUGGGCAGUGUGGGCCGCUUGCCCUUGAGUGGCUGGCCUCCACUGGGAAGAGAGGUCUAUGUCUUAAGCUGGCUUGGGUGGGGGUGGCUGCUGUGCUUCUCCUCUCCUGUGAGAGGGGAGCACAAGAUCAGGUGCCCCCAAGGUCACCUCUCUGCCCUGCAGCCGCUGGAGACACAGGCUUGGCCCAGGAACCCUGGGGCGCUUGGCCUCCCCUGGCCUUUCUGAGGAGCACAGCCUGUGUGGGCUCAAGGAUCCCCAGAACCCAGUUUGGGGGGAUCUGUCCCAUGGCCCCUCAUGGCCGAGAGGCUUCUGCCUGACGAUGAAGGUGUAACCUCACACGCCUGUGUCUUAAAAACCUUCUGGAAGAUUCGUCUUCUAUGUGAGGUUUUUGAAGAAAGACUUCUGCAAAAAAAGAAAAAAAGUGUGGGCUUCUCUGGGCUGAAGUGUCUCCAAGCAUGGGAAGCAUUGUGGUUCUCAGACACCCUUCUCCGGAGGAGAGCCACCUCAUCCCUGAGCCAGAGGUCCCAGGCAUGGCAGGAUGUGACCCCCCGGCCCCAGAUGGCUGGGCAGGGCCUGGGUGGGCUGAGCCCCCUGGCUAGUCACUACAGGAGAGGGUAGGUAGCUUUGUCCAUUCACCUUGGAGGCCAUGCACUUGUUUCUCCUCACCAUACACUCCUCACCAUUGGAGGGCCAAGCAAAUGAAACCCUCAGAAAGGGGGUGACAGUCCUUCCAGCAUCCUCAUCGCUCACUUCCUGAUUUGUGACCUCUUGCAGAAAGCCUCUUCCUCAUUAGUCUUUGAAAAUCAGAUGAGGGCUCUCUCAUCAUCAUGUUCUUACCAGCUUCUGACUCGAGCGUCUCUUCAGCAUCCACAGUGGAUUUCUAGGAGUUCCAACCUGUUGGCCACGUUUUAAGUAAUUGCCUGUUCUCUGAAGCUACGUCCUGCCCGAACCUUUGACCAUAGGAGACUUGUGGCCCUAGGGACUUUGGUAUCUGCCUAUAUCUCCACCCCUGCCACCAAGAACUCAAUCAGCAACUUGAGAACAUGGUUUGCUUUGCAAGGAGACUCCCCCAAAAUGGUAGAAAGGGUUGAAAAUGGUGAUAAACACCUGCUCUGUUGAAUCAAUUCGACAAACCUUUCUGAGA